rnacentral:snoRNA from 1 species
CAUAUCUGCCUUAGAUCCUUUGUCAGGGCUUUCAUUUAUUGGAAGUUCAAAAAGCUUUUACUGGCUUUCCGUUGACAAAGCUUGAGUCAUACAGAUAUAAGAUUGCUUAUACCUCCACUCUUGAUCCCAAUGAAGGUAUCCAGCUCUUUCCCUCCACUUUCGAAAGAAAGGAAAGGGAAGUCGAAAAGUUGAUACCGUGGAUUCGUUUGGGGACAUU